rnacentral:lncRNA from 1 species
CUCCCUCUCUCCCUCCCUUCCUACUAAAAACCAAUAAGGCUAGGGAGCCUAUCUGCAUAGUUCUGUGAAUGUCUCGGAACAAAGCAAUACACAGAAGCUAAUGCUCUCAUCCUGUGUAAGAUACAAAUCUUGUCACAUCAUGGACCAUCGUGGAGCAUGAAGCUAUUUCUAAUGUGAUGGGGGAAAUGUUUCUAGCAGAAGAGCAAGACAUGGUCCUGGUGCAUGAAAGGAGCCUAAGAAAGAAGAGUGAAAGCUGCACGUGUGUGAGUAUCUAGCAGAACAUCUAGAAAAUGCACACCAACCUCCAGCAGCAGAAAACAGUCUACCUCCAGAAAGCCAUAAAAGAGAAAAGAAUGUUGUACCAAACUAAGCAAAUGAAGCAUGAAAUGAAAAGCCGGUUGAGCUGGGAGGUAUAAAGAAUGGAAAGGAAGCAGCUACCACCCCUGGUAACCCCAUCAAUCCGGAGAAGCUUCGCAGAGUUACACUGUGCUCUGUCGGAGGAAGUCUAAAAUAACACAUGGGUGUCUCGGCCUUGGCACAGCUAAACCCUGGAACAUUGAACUGAAGUCAUAACAAUGGGUAAUAUUUUAAUAUAAUGAAAAAUUAUCAUUAACUUUUCUCGACAGGAAGGAAAUGAAUUUUCCUCAUUGUACACAUUCCGAGAAAAAUGAGGCUAAGACUAUUUCAAAGGAUGUUCUACCUAAUUCGAAUGGGCUUUAAGUGCCAUCUUCACAAUAGCGCCAGAGUCUGGUGUCAGCAAACUGAACAAAUAGAGCUACAGGGAGCGAAUGGGGCUGGGUGCCUCUCCAAAACAUAUGCAGAUGAACUUGAGAUUUCAGAGGACGGUUAAUCCUACACAGCAGUCAAGUGCCUUCCCAGGGGUAUGUCUCAGAUCUCAGAGCAUCCUGGCAGGCAUCCACUGUGCCAUAUGCUUUCGGGAAGUCUGGAUGCUGAAUGUGGUGGCUGUGGGGAAUUGAGCCUUAUUGCUUCAUAAGAUUCCUGGUGGUAGAACUAUUCUGAACAAGAACACGUCCGUCCCCAUAGGUGUGCUCCAAGAAUCACAGAAUAAGAAGGGACUUCGGAGAGAGCCUCACACAGUUGGGCAAUGGGAGCCCAGAGAGGCAAGGAAGGCUCCUUGCCCAAAGUCUUGUACAUCUGAAUCUGCAACUCCUGACUAUUUUUGAGUCUUAUGCUCCAGGCUAAAACUUGUGACUUUAAGUGUGAUGUUCUCGGUGAUGAUUAAUCUAGGAUGUUUCUGUUGUUUUCUUACCGUCAAAGAAUUAACAUCAAAAGGAAAGGAAGGAAGAAAUGUAGAAGUGAAGGCAAGAAGGAAGGAAGGAGGAAAGGAAGGAAGGAAAAUAUAGGCUUUGGGUAAAAAUAAGUUUCUACUCAACACUGACAAAGGUACAGGUUUUGGACAUUGGUUUCCUAAUCUGUAAAUGAGGAAUAGUCAUCACAUCGCUGUCCUGGCUGGUUUUGUGUGUCAACUUGACACAAGCUGGAGUUAUCACAGAGAAAGGAAAGAAAAUGCCUCCAUGAGAUCUAGCUGUAAAUGGAUUAGUGAUCAAGAGUGGGAGGGCCCAGUGUGGGUGGUGCCAUCCCUGGACUGGUGGUCCUGGGUUCUACAAGAAAACAAGCUGAGCAAGCCAGGGGAAGCAAGCCAGGGGAACAUCCCUCCACGGCUCUGCAUCAGCUCCUGCUUCCUGCCCUGUGUGAGUUCCAGUCCUGACUUCCUUUGGUGACGAACAGCAAUGUGAUAGUAUAAGCUGAAUAAACCCUUUCCUCCCCAAC